rnacentral:lncRNA from 1 species
AUGCAGAAUGAAAUCGGGUGGCAGCGUUUCCUGGGUGGGAAUGGAACACCUAACUCAGAGGGAGGCACCCUAGGCCAUGUGACACCUCCUUUGGAUUCUGGGGUCACUGACACAGCAGUGAUGGGGCAGAGGAGAAGUUCUAGAAUCUCAGAAGGGUUGGGAAGGCAACACCCAAAAUGGCGUGAAACGAAGAUGACAGUUUCCUUGUGUGUUUGGCCUGGAAUGUUAACUGAGCCAUGAUCACGUUCAAGCUACUGCGUUCAGAAUUGUGGAGAUCCGAAAAUCAACGAAGAUCCUUCCAUGAACGAAGGUCCUUCAUUCAUUUGAUUCAUCCUGCAAACACACAAUGAGCACCUACUAUGUACCAGGCACGGCUCCAGACAACGAGUACACAUCUCUGAAUAAGACAGCAGCUAUUCCCACUCUCAUCGAGCUGACGUCAUAGCGGAGCUGCUAAACCAUGAACAAAUGAGGAAAUUACGUUGUAAUGGGUGGCACGGAAAAUACGACGGACUUACAACCUAGAGAGUGCGGAUGGUGGCUACAGCUGAGGCUGUCAGACAAAGAAGGGCUGAGAAAGCGAGGUCGCAAAAAAGAAAAAAAAAAAAAAACCCACCCCUCCCAAAAUGUUAUUAUCUCACAUGGUUUCUGAGGAUCGGGGAUCUGGAGCAGCUUAACUGGGGGAUUCUGGCCCCGGUGUCUCAUGAAAUACAGUUAAGAUGUUGACCAGGGUGACAGGCAUCGUGUGACUCACUGGAGGCAGGAGGACCCACUUCCAAGAUCCACUCACAUGGCUGUUGGUGGGAGGCCUGGCUCUUCACCAUGUGGACUUCUCCACGGGGUCGCUGGGGUGCCUUCACGGUGUGGCUCUUGGCUUCUCCACAGACGGGAUGAACCCAGAGAGAGAGAAAGGAGGAGGCCACGGUUCUUCUUAGGACCUGGUCCUGGACGUCCAAAACCUUCCCUUCCGCCGUAUUCCAUUCUUCCAAAGUGAGCUGCCGAGCCCAGCCCAUGCUCGAGGGGGGAUUAGCUCCACCUCUAUGAAGAAAGAGCGGAGUGUCAAAGAACACAGCGCUAUUCGAGAUUUGUAAUUAUAAUAAUUACUAGUAUCGGUAUUUUGCACGCUGUUGGUACCUCCCAUGAGGAAGGGUGCUGCACGGACCUUCUGCUAACCAGUCCUCAGUCUCUCCGAGACCCUAAGGGGAUCCUGGAGGGCAUCCUCAAGGCAACCCUAUGAGCUGCUUGCUAUGGUCUCCAUUUUACACAGGACACAGAGGAGAUUAAGAAACAUGCCCGAAGGGAGCCUGGGUGGCUCAGUCAGUUAAGCAUCUCCCUUUGUCUCAGGUCCUGAUCUCCAGGUCCUGGGAUCGAGCCCCAUGUCGGGCUCCCAGCUCAGUGGGGAGCCUGCUUCUCCCUGUCCUGCUCCCCCUGCUCGUGCUCUCUCUCAAAUGAAUAAAUAAAAUCUUAAAAAAAAAUGGGGCGCCUGGGUGGCUCAGUCGUUAAGCAUCUGCCUUUGGCCCAGGGAGUGAUCCCAGAGUCCUGGGAUUGAGCCCCGCGUUGGGCUCCCUGCUCCGCUGGGAGCCUGCUUCUUCCUCUCCCACUCACCCUACUUGUGUUCCCUCUCUCACUGGCUGUCUCUCUGUCAAAGAAAUAAAUAAAAUCGUAAAAAAAAAAAGAAAAGAAAAAAA